AAGUCGUAACAAGGUAUCUGUAGGUGAACCUGCAGAUGGAUCAUUUCGAUAAAAUCGGGAAAUUCAUGAAUUUACUUUUGUGAAUUUUCCAGAGGUGUUGCUCGCACCUGACUAACUAAAAUGAGUUACCAUUGUCAACACGGUUACACGUAAAAAACACACACACAAUUGAACACUUUUGACUAUGUAGGAUAGAAGGAAAAUCGUUUUACGAUGGAAGCGACUGGUAAUGCGGUCGUCUAAAUCUAACAAACAACUUUUGGCAACGGAUCUCUUGGUUCUCC
rnacentral:misc_RNA from 1 species